rnacentral:rRNA from 1 species
AACGAACGCUGGCGGCAUGCCUAACACAUGCAAGUCGAACGGGAUCCUGGCUUCGGUCAGGUGAGAGUGGCGGACGGGUGAGUAACGCGUGGGAACCUGCCCAGUGGUGGGGGAUAACUGCGGGAAACUGCAGCUAAUACCGCAUGAGCCCGAGAGGGGAAAGAUUUAUCGCCAUUGGAGGGGCCCGCGUUCGAUUAGGUAGUUGGUGAGGUAACGGCUCACCAAGCCGACGAUCGAUAGCUGGUCUGAGAGGAUGAUCAGCCACACUGGGACUGAGAUACGGCCCAGACUCCUACGGGAGGCAGCAGUGGGGAAUAUUGGACAAUGGGGGGCAACCCUGAUCCAGCAAUGCCGCGUGAGUGAUGAAGGCCUUCGGGUUGUAAGCUCUUUGGUGGGGACGAUGAUGACGGUACCCGCAGAAUAAGCCCGGCUAACUUCGUGCCAGCAGCCGCGGUAAU